CCCAGACUCCUACGGGAGGCAGCAGUGGGGAAUAUUGGGCAAUGGGCGCAAGCCUGACCCAGCAACGCCGCGUGAAGGAAGAAGGCUUUCGGGUUGUAAACUUCUUUUCUCAGGGACGAAGAAAGUGACGGUACCUGAGGAAUAAGCCACGGCUAACUACGUGCAAGCAGCCGCGGAAAUACGUAGGUGGCACGCGUUAUCCGGAUUUAUUGGGUGUAAAGGGCGUGUAGGCGGGAGCGCAAGUCAGAUGUGAAAACUCAGGGCUCAACCCGGGACCUGCAUUUGAAACUGUGUUUCUUGAGUGCUGGAGAGGAAAGCGGAAUUCCGUGUGUAGCGGUGAAAUGCGUAGAUAUACGGAGGAACACCAGUGGCGAAGGCGGAUUGCUGGACAGUAACUGACGCUGAGGCGCGAAAGCGUGGGGAGCAAACAGGAUUAGAUACCCGCGUAA
rnacentral:rRNA from 1 species